rnacentral:rRNA from 1 species
AACGAACGCUGGCGGCAUGCCUAACACAUGCAAGUCGAACGAGACCUUCGGGUCUAGUGGCGCACGGGUGCGUAACGCGUGGGAACCUGCCCUUAGGUUCGGAAUAACUCCCCGAAAGGGGUGCUAAUACCGGAUAAUGUCUUCGGACCAAGGAUUUAUCGCCUUUGGAUGGGCCCGCGUUGGAUUAGCUAGUUGGUAGGGUAAAAGCCUACCAAGGCGACGAUCCAUAGCUGGUCUGAGAGGAUGAUCAGCCACACUGGGACUGAGACACGGCCCAGCCUCCUACGGGAGGCAGCAGUGGGGAAUAUUGGACAAUGGGCGAAAGCCUGAUCCAGCAAUGCCGCGUGAGUGAUGAAGGCCUUAGGGUUGUAAAGCUCUUUUACCCGGGAUGAUAAUGACAGUACCGGGAGAAUAAGCGCCGGCUAACUCCGUG